CCAAUAGCGUAUAUUAAAGUUGUUGCAGUUAAAAAGCUCGUAGUUGAAUUUCGGGAUUGGCGCAUCGGUCGUGCCUCACGGGGUAUGAACUGGUGCAGUCAAUUUCUCACCUUCUGGAGAACCGCGAUGUCCUUAAUUGGAUGCCGCGGGGAACCAGGACCUUUACUUUGAAAAAAUUAGAGUGUUUAAAGCAGGCAUUUUUGCUUGAAUACAUUAGCAUGGAAUAAUAAAAUAGGACGGCAUGGUUGUAUUUUGUUGGUUUCUAGGACCACCGUAAUGAUUAAUAGGGAUAGUUGGGGGCAUUAGUAUUCAAUUGUCAGAGGUGAAAUUCUUGGAUUUAUUGAAGACUAACUACUGCGAAAGCAUUUGCCAAGGAUGGUUUCAUUAAUCAAGAACGAAAGUUAGGGGAUCGAAGACGAUCAGAUACCGUCGUAGUCUUAACCAUAAACUAUGCCGACUAGGAAUCAGACGAUGUUAAUUUUUUAAUGACUCGUUUGGCACCUUAC
rnacentral:rRNA from 1 species